rnacentral:rRNA from 1 species
UUGACCUCUGACCUCAAAUCAGGUAGGAUUACCCGCUG